ensembl:lncRNA
AAAGAGAGAGAGAGAGAGAGGCAGGCAAAGAGAGAGAGAGAGAGGCAGGCAAAAAGAGAGAGAGAGAGGCAGGCAAAGAGAGAGAGAGAGAGAGAGGCAGAGAGAGAGAGAGGCAAAGAGAGAGAGAGAGAGGCAAAGAGAGAGAGGCAAAGAGAGAGAGAGAGAGGCAGGCAAAGAGAGAGAGAGAGAGAGAGAGAGAGAGAGAGAGAGAGAGAGAGGCAGGCAAAGAGAGAGAGAGAGAGGCAAAGAGAGAGAGAGAGAGAGAGAGAGGCAGGCAAAGAGAGAGAGAGCCGCAGGGAGAAAGAGGCAGAGAGAGAGAGAAAAACAGAGAAAGAAAGGCAGAGAGAGAAAAAGAGGCAGAGAAAGAGAGGCAGAGAGAGAGAGAGAGGCAGAGAGAGAGAGAGGCAGAGAGAGUGAGAGAGGCAGAGAAAGUGAGGCAGAGAGAAAGUGAGGCAGAGAGAGAGAGAAGAAGAGACAAAGAGAAGCAGAUAGAGAGGCAGAGAGAGAGAGAGGCAGAGAGAGAGGCAGAGAGAGAGAGAGGCAGCGAGAGAGAGAGGCACAGAGAGAGAGAGAGGCAGAGAGAGAGGCAGAGAGAGAGGCAGAGAGAAAGAGAGGCAGAGAGAAAGAGAGGCAGAGAGAAAGAGAGGCAGAGAAAGGGAGAGAGAGGCAGAGAGAGAGAGAGAGAGUGAGAGAGGCAGAGAGAGAGAAGCAGAGAGAGAGACAGGUAGAGAGAGCAGUUGAAUGCAAGUUUCAGUUGCUCUUCACCAACUUCCUCCUGCAGCCAACGCCUGCACUUUGGGAGGCUCUAUUUAACCAAUAAGGGCCGAGGAAGUGUGGAAUAUGGGCAAUAUACCACGACUGACGGCUGUUCUUAGGCAC